rnacentral:rRNA from 1 species
UACGUAGGGUGCAAGCGUUAAUCGGAAUUACUGGGCGUAAAGCGUGCGCAGGCGGUGAUGUAAGACAGAUGUGAAAUCCCCGGGCUCAACCUGGGAACUGCAUUUGUGACUGCAUCGCUGGAGUGCGGCAGAGGGGGAUGGAAUUCCGCGUGUAGCAGUGAAAUGCGUAGAUAUGCGGAGGAACACCGAUGGCGAAGGCAAUCCCCUGGGCCUGCACUGACGCUCAUGCACGAAAGCGUGGGGAGCAAACAGGAUUAGAAACCCUUGUAGUCC